rnacentral:lncRNA from 1 species
UUGUAGCAGUGCACAUGAGCAAUAGAGCUUAUAAUCUUUUCUUUGAUGUGAUGGAUUAAGUGGCAAUCAUUUGUUGGAAUACCAGUACUCUGGUUGGUGUGUUUAUUUUUUUAGGAGCUUGUGCAGUUCAUUGUCAUCAUUUUUGGUUUUCAGAAUUUCAGGGUCAAGUGCUCAGAACUUUGAACAUCAUAAAACUAACCGUACAGCAGAUAGCAAGCUCCAUCGACACGUCACUUGCCGCUUGUAGAACUGCCUCAGCACCUGCUCCGCUAGUCUCAAGCCCCUUCGAAGAUGUGGAUGCCUUGAUGGAGUUCGAAGAGUCACUUACUAAGGAAAAUGAAGACGUCCUGAUCAGCGAGCUGAUGCAGCUUGGUGGCGUGAACCCAAACAUCGCAGUGAAGCGCAUACUCAUAUAUCUUUUUGCUGACUCCUUGGCUGCCCAGUUUUCAUGGCAUGGCAAGAAAGGGAAAAGGAAAUUUUCAGAACUCAAACUGUGCCAGUGCCUGUUCAGUGCCAUUAGGAAACGUUUUCCAAGCAGUACAAGGGACGACGUCGAGAGCAGUGCGAAGUCAUGGCUCCGCCACGCCCCAGAGAGGGCUAAUGGCAAAGGCAGCGAAAAUUGAAAACAGUGUUGUCAAGUUGCAGACCUCAACUCCAAGACAAAAGUGUGAUGCAGGCAACUUGUCGCAGACCUCAACUCCAAGACAAAAGUGUGAUGCAGGGGACUUGUCGCAGCCUUCAUCAAAAGCGUGGAGCAUAAUCUCAUGGACACCACCGCCAUCUCGUUGUUGACUCUGCUUCUCAUUUCUUCUCAUCUGCCAACUUUGUCAUCACUACAAGUAACAUUCCUAAAUUUUGUCGCGCAUUGCUGUAGGCACGAGCUCUUGAGCCUGGUCAUUGCCAUUUUUUUGUAGUUCUGACCGCGAUACCACAGUGGCAGAUACUGCAAGAUUUUAGCCACCAUAACUUAACGCCAAUUCAACCUAUAUGGCGGUUUUUUACGGUAUUUUUUAUAAUUGUGUUCUAGGUCAUAAGUUCAUAUGCCACAAGUAACAUUGAACCUUGCAAUGUGAGGUAUCCAUUGUUGACAGCUGAGAUAAAGUUUUACGUGUGUUUCCAUUAUAUAUUCAGGACCUGCAGCUUUUAAAUGAACCUCCAUCUCAUUGUUUUUUGUGUGUAUGUCACAGCUGUGUUCCUCUCGGACUACUCUUUUCGUGUUACUUGCUUUGGUCAGCAGAUAAGAGUCGUGCUGACAAUAAAAGCAGUGCUCGAUUUCUGCAAGGUUCUGUACUGAGUUUUACAAGUUUCUAGUCUUCCAUAUGGCAAUAACCAAACAUAAAUAAUUGAUAAAAUAACCACACUGCUGUAAUUAAUAUGUCUUAUCGGGAUGACCAAUGAGCACGGGCUCAGGGCGAAAUGUAAGCCUAAAAUAGAAGUUGAUUGCAAGCAAAACUCGGAAGAGAAGUUUAAAAAAAAAGGGUAGAUCAGUCUGAUAAGUGCAAAUCAUUAUUUUUUUGCUAGAUUUAUCUUUGCACUCAUUUCUCAUCACUGGCUGUGUGUUGCUAGCUGUGUUCUAAGUCAUGAGUGAAGUUUAAGUGCAAGUGCUAUUGAUUUCUACUGUGCAGUGCGUUCUUAAUGAUAGCUGUGAUCUAGUUCAGUAUUCAGAGUUGCAGAUUUUAAGUGAACCUUUAUCUUCUUGUUUUAUUUGUGUCACAGCUGCGUUACUGUCUGACAACUGUUUUGAUGUUCCUAGAUUUUUUGGAGGUGAUCCUUGUACCUACUCUCUUAACAGUGUUCGAGUACCACAAGCUUGUGGGCCGAGUUUUUGAACUUUCUAGUCCUGUUGUAGCGUUUUUCAUUCUGGAGUGCUGUUCUCUAAUAAAAUUUACUAUAUUUUAAACGUUUCUUUUCCUCACAAUUGUACAGUAAUGAACUGUGAAACACAAUUGAACAUGUUCACUGAUGUGGCAACACUAUAUACAGACCCUUGUGUGUGUGUGCGUGUGUUUGCAUGCAUGCAUGCAUAUGCAGGUAGCGCCUAAGAAGCACGGACAUAUAUGCAUUCAUGAGGCCGAAUUGAGGUGCGUAUGAUGGGCAGAA